CACCAGUUUUUUUUUUUUUUAAUAUUUUUAUAGAUGGACACAAUACACGAUUUAUUUUUAUGUGGUGCUGAUGAUCGAACCCAGUGCCUCACAUGUGCUAGGCAAGCUCUCUACCACUGAGCCACAAUCCCAGCCCCCACCAGCCCUUUUUAUUUUUUGAAACAGUGUCACUGAGUUGCUCAAACUGGCCUCAAACUUGGAAUUCUCCUGCCUCAGCCUCCUGAGUUGCUGGGAUUACAGGCGUGUGCUACCAUAACCAGCUUGCAGCUGACUUUCAAGUGAUUCAGGAAAAAGAAAAAAAAAAGCAAACUGUGAAUUGGUGACUAAUUGAUGUGUACAUGUGAGCUCACUGGACUAUGCUUUCACCUGUCUAAAAUUUCUCAAACUGGAGAAAAUUUUAUGUACCUGUAACAAGGAGUAUGCUGUGACUUAUAAUUUGAUCCAACAAUAUGGGAUUGGAUGAGCAGAAAUAAUUUUAUAGGAAAUGGAAAGAUUGAUAUUGUAAGCAAAAACAGCAUGAUCCAAUUUCUAUAAAAACAUCAAAAUG
rnacentral:lncRNA from 1 species